CGCUGGGGACAGGGUGGGAGGGUGGGGACAGGCAGGCCGGACACCCUGGACCCACUCGAGGGCCUGCAGGGGUCAGAGCACCGUCCCACCUGUCACCUGGACUGUCACUGCUGGGCCACCCCCACCGCCCCAGGCCGCAGACGGGUGCACGCGAACACCCUCCUUUUCCAGGUGCUGAGCAUGGAGCAUGAGUCUGCGCUGAUGUCAGCCUCCCAAAGUGUCUUGGCUGGGCCUCGAGGCCACCUCCACCCCCAGCAGUGCUGAGAAGCCCAAGGUCCGAGACUGACAAGCGUUUCCGGGGCUG